rnacentral:rRNA from 1 species
UACGUAGGGGGCUAGCGUUGUCCGGAUUUAUUGGGCGUAAAGAGCGUGUAGGCGGCCAAGCAGGUCCGCUGUGAAAACUCGAGGCUCAACCUCGAGACGUCGGUGGAAACCGUUUGGCUAGAGUCCGGAAGAGGAGAGUGGAAUUCCCGGUGUAGCGGUGAAAUGCGCAGAUAUCGGGAAGAACACCCGUGGCGAAGGCGGCUCUCUGGGACGGUACUGACGCUGAGACGCGAAAGCGUGGGGAGCGAACAGG